ensembl:lncRNA
CUCAUCGGGACAAACAUCAAUGAGGCGAAGAUCUACUUGCAGACUGAGUCCUCAGUGCAGGAUGUUCUCCUGAAUUCACAGGUGUCCGUUACAUUCAAGGGGGUGUCCAUCUACAUGGAGGGCUGCUUCAAGUGUCAUGACCCCUGUGAUGGCCAAACCCUUGAGACACCUUUGGUGUUUCCCAGCACACCAUGAGGACCACCACCAGGGUUUUAAACAGCAGCACGACCCUUUAGGCUCUGUAUCUUAUUCAUUUCAUUACUGUAGUGACAGUUUCUGCACAUCCAUAUGUUUACAUUCUGUAUGUGUUUCUUUGAGUGUGUGUGUGUGUGUGUGUGUGUGUGUGUGUGUGUGUGUGUGUGUGUGUGUGUGUGUGUGUGUUAUGAUCAGAAUCACUGUCAUUCUACUAAUCAUCAUUUCUAUCUGAACAGUGGACAUGGACUAAGUCAGUGGACAUUGCUUCCAAAAGAUCCCAUCAGCUCACCAGUGUUAAAACUGUACCUAGAACUAUCUGAAUCUAGAACAUGAAUCUACAACAUAGUCUGAACACUAGACUAUUGGAUGUAGUUCAGUUUAUUCUGUUUGGCUGUAACUGAUGCUGGGACUGAUGUCGUCAUCAUUCUACAUACUUUUAUUGAACGUGUAACUGCCACCUCGAUGGCUCAGCAGGGCAACAGUCUGACCCUUUAAGAGGCCAAUGCCCAUGUACUGCUGAAGCGCAUGUGCGCCAGUGAUCCGACUGCCAGCCUGGCUACUGAGGCUUUCCCAACUGUGGACCAUGCCAAUGUAACGGGCAUGCAGCGAGCAGUGACCCACACACCGGCACCUGCCAUGAGUGCAGAGACCACACAGCAGGCCAUCAGUGUGAGAGGUGUAUGGAUUGUUUCUAUGGUAACCCAGUGCUGGGUUCAGGGGAGCACAGCCGUUCGUGUCCAGGUUACCCAGGCAGUGGUCAUUCCAACGGACAUUCCUGCCAUAAGAAAUCAGCUUUCAUCCAGAUCACUUUCCACUGCUUGGAAAAGAACAAGCCUGCUUUAUACUGUGCACUGCAAUGAUUGGCCUGUUAUGCUACAGUUUCCUGACCUUCUCCCAUUUGCUCUGUAUUCCUGUGUGUGA